GCUAUGUUGUCCAGGCCAGUCUUGAGUUUUCCAUCUUCCUGCUUCAUUCUCCUGUAUCGCUGGGAUCACAGCAAAAGAAGUACUGGGAAGUCACUGAUGUAGGGAGAGUUCCCAUUCUUGCCCUCCAGCCAGACGGGAUCAUGAUCCCUCCCUCAAGCACAUUCAGAGAAUUUAGGCUGAUUCAGGAACCAAAUCCAGAGUCUUCCCAGAUGGCUCCAGCAGUAUCCCACUACCUGCAC